UACGUAGGGGGCAAGCGUUGUCCGGAAUCAUUGGGCGUAAAGCGCGCGUAGGCGGCCCGGUAAGUCCGCUGUAAAAGUCCAGGGCUCAACCCUGGAAAGCCGGUGGAUACUGUCGGGCUAGAGUCCGGAAGAGGCGAGUGGAAUUCCUGGUGUAGCGGGUGGAAUGCGCAGAUAUCAGGAGGAACACCGAUAGCGAAGGCAGCUCGCUGGGACGGUACUGACGCUGAGAAGCGAAAGCAUGGGGAGCGAACAGG
rnacentral:rRNA from 1 species